ACCAGUGGGACCGGCUCUUCAAACCCUUCUUCCGCUGCUCCGAUGAUCCUCUUAGGGUACCCUGGUUUGAAUCGUAGCGACAGAGCUGGUGGAGGCGAUGACGAAUCGGCCACUCUAGGGUCUCGACUUCCACCUUUUGCAUCUAUCAAUCGUCUCUCUUAUUCUUGGGAUUCACACCGGUUGGAUUCUUCCCGACAGUUUACUGAAACCCUUAUGAGCAGUCCAUUGUUCCUUCCUAUGUGUGACAAAAAAGACGUAAGUAGCUCUCAAAUUUUGUGCAGUUCCUGAUCCAGAACACUGAUUUCCCUGUUAUUGGAGGAGAUGGACCUCCUCUUAUUGGCUAGCCAACAUCUUGAACGAGCUUUAUGGAUUCGAUGGGACCUCGCCUACUACUAUGCAUCCUUGCCUACCUAUCCACGAGUAUUUGAUGCAUGGGUGGUAAGUGGAUGGCACAACGCGAUGAUCGUGCAUCUUGGGACGACCAAUAAGAGCGUUGUAAGAUGCAUCAACAUCUAUGACUAGGCGUUCGGAGAGUGCUUUGAUGUCGCUAUUCAGAGAGUAUGUAAUUAUCUGGUGACCCAACCAUGACUUUUAGGCUUUAAAGUUUAAACUAAGCUCAGUGAAGACAUGCCCAUUGAGAGCCCAUGGAUCACCCAACUCUAAUGGGCCUACUAGGCUUGGUACUGCACAGCUCUCUACUAGUCCAGUGACUCCAGUCUUCAGAUCUCCUUCUUUAACCAUGUAAAGAUGCUGGACUCUUCAGACUCCAAAUUUCCACUGUUACACACUUAAUUUGAAGAAAGAAAGUUCUCCACACCUACAUGGUCAAGGUAACUGAAGAAUUCAAGCCAAACGAAAAAAGAUAUUAGGGAUGGCAUGUAACUUGGAGUGAUGGAUAGUAGUAAACUUCCAUACAAUUUCUAUGUAAGUUUUGAGUUGCAGCUUCCAAUUAUUUUUCCCAUUUAACA